rnacentral:rRNA from 1 species
AACGCACGCUGGCGGCAGGCUUAACCCAUGCAAGUCGAACGAGAUCUUCGGAUCUAGUGGCAGACGGGUGAGGAACACGUGGGAACAUCCCUUUCAGUUCGGAAUAACGUUGGGAAACUAACGCUAAUACCGGAUACGUCCUUCGGGAGAAAGAUUUAUCGCUGAAAGAUUGGCCCGCGUCUGAUUAGCUAGUUGGUGAGGUAAUGGCUCACCAAGGCUACGAUAAGUAGCUGAUCUGAGAGGAUGAUCAGCCACAUUGGGACUGAGACACGGCCCAAACUCCUACGGGAGGUAGCAGUGGGGAAUAUUGGACAAUGGGCGCAAGCCUGAUCCAGCCAUGCCGCGUGAGUGAUGACGGCCUUCGGGUUGUAAAGCUCUUUUGUCCGGGAAGAUAAUGACUGUACCGGAAGAAUAAGCCCCGGCAAACUUCGUGCCAGCAGCUGCGGUAA